rnacentral:lncRNA from 1 species
GGGGUUCACUGAUGAAGGAACAACUGAGUAGAGAACUGACACAAUAAGAUCCAUGGAUGGGGAAGAGAUGGAGGGAGGCUUAAGGUAGGCAAACAUGCCAGUGCUGAUAAAGAGGGAGACCACGGCCAGGUGAGGGAGGCACAUGGAAAAGGCUUUGUGCCGGCCCUGCUCAGAGGGAAUCCUCAGCACUACCCUGAGAAUCUGCACAUAGGAUAACAUGAUGAAAACAAAGCAAAGAAAGGCUAUAGAAACGCUAAAAACUAGUGCCCAAACUUCCCUGAGGUAGGCAUCUGAGCAAGAGAGCUUGAGGAUCUGGGGGAUUUCACAGAAGAACUGGUCCACAACAUUGCCGUGGCAGAGGGGCAGGGAAAAUGUGUUGGCCGUGUGCAGGACAGCAUUGAGAAAGCCACUGCCCCAGGCAGCUGCUGCCAUCUGGGCACAAGCUCUGCUGCCCAGGAGGCUCCCGUAGUGCAGGGGCUUGCAGAUGGCAACGUAGCGGUCGUAGGCCAUGACAGUGAGAAGAGAAUACUCUGCUACAACCAAGAAAGCAAAGAGAAAGAGUUGGGCAGCACACCCUUGAUAGGAGAUGACCCUGGUGUCCCAGAAGGCAUUGGCCAUGGCUUUGGGCAGAGUGGUGGAGAUGCAGCCCAGGUCGAGGAGGGCGAGGUUGAGGAGGAAGAAGUACAUGGGGGUGUGGAGAUGCAGCCCAGGUCGAGGAGGGCGAGGUUGAGGAGGAAGAAGUACAUGGGGGUGUGGAGGCGGUGGUUGCAGGCUACGGCGCUGAGGAUGAGGCCGUUGCCCAGAAGGGCAGCCAGGUAGAUGCCCAGGAAGAGUGUGAAGUGCAGGAGCUGCACAGAGUGGUGGAGAUGCAGCCCAGGUCGAGGAGGGCGAGGUUGAGGAGGAAGAAGUACAUGGGGGUGUGGAGGCGGUGGUUGCAGGCUACGGCGCUGAGGAUGAGGCCGUUGCCCAGAAGGGCAGCCAGGUAGAUGCCCAGGAAGAGUGUGAAGUGCAGGAGCUGCAGCUCGCGCGUCUGCGAAUGCCAGCAGGAGGAACUCGCUCACAGAGCUGAUGUUGGGCAUUUGCUGACUCUGGACACAGUUGUCUGCUGAAGAUGAGAAGAGAGAACAAAGUUAGAAGAGCUUUCUCUGAGGAAAACAUAGUGCAAGUUUUGGAGCACCACCCAGCCCAACCCCUGUCUAUGCAGCUGAACCUUUCUGCAUCUCUCUUGCUUGAGCUGCAUCUGGUGCUGGCUGAGAGUGGCACUUGGAGCAGGGGCUGCUGUGGGCUGCAGAGGAGUCUUUUCUGCUGUGCAGCAGGAGGGAGGCAGACACAUGGGGGAAACUCUAGUUCAGUCCACUUGUCAGGUCAGUGAGGUUUGCAGUACUGUUUCAAAUACUUCAUCUGAAUGCAGAGCAGAGCUGCAGAUGCCAGUGCUGAACACCAGUGUUCUCAGCUGCCCUGUCACCUCUCUGAGAGCUGCA